rnacentral:rRNA from 1 species
CCAGGUCUUGACACCGAGUGAAGAACUAAGAGAUUAGUUCGCCCUUCGGGCAACAAAGACAGGUGGUGCAUGGUUGUCGUCAGCUCGUGUCGUGAGAUGUUGGGUUAAGUCCCGCAACGAGCGCAACCCUUACCAUUAGUCGUACGCAAGAGCACUCUAAUGGGACUGCCGUUGACAAAACGGAGGAAGGUGGGGAUGACGUCAAAUCAUCAUGCCCCUUAUGACCUGGGCUACACACGUACUACAAUGGCAAUAGAACAGAGGGAAGCAAUACAGCGAUGUAAAGCAAAACCCGAAAAAUUGUCUCAGUUCGGAUUGCAGGCUGCAACCCGCCUGCAUGAAGUCGGAAUUGCUAGUAAUCGCAGAUCAGCAUGCUGCGGUGAAUACGUUCCCGGGCCUUGUACACACCGCCCGUCACACCAUGGGAGUCGGUAACACCCGAAGCCAGUAGUCCAACCGCAAGGGGGACGCUGUCGAAGGUGGGAUUGAUGACUGGGGUGAAGUCGUAAUCAAGGUAACCAAUC